UACGUAGGGAGCAAGCGUUGUCCGGAAUCAUUGGGCGUAAAGCGCGCGUAGGCGGCCCCGUAAGUCCGCUGUGAAAGUCAAAGGCUCAACCUUUGAAAGCCGAUGGAUACUGUGUGGCUAGAGUCCGGAAGAGGCGAGUGGAAUUCCUGGUGUAGCGGUGGAAUGCGCAGAUAUCAGGAGGAACACCAAUAGCGAAGGCAGCUCGCUGGGACGGUACUGACGCUAAGGCGCGAAAGCGUGGGGAGCGAACAGG
rnacentral:rRNA from 1 species